GCGGAUGUAGCCAAGUGGAUCAAGGCAGUGGAUUGUGAAUCCACCAUGCGCGGGU
rnacentral:tRNA from 2 species